ACCCACACCUGGAGCUCCCCGAGUAAAACUGUGUAGCUGAAUUGCAAAUCUAAUUAGCUGCUAAAGGAAUGCACCGCAGAGAGGGGGCGAAAUUACGGGUAAGUACUCGCACUGGGCAUCCGCUUAUUAAUACUGGUAUGAUGCAACCCUGUAAACAAAUGCGGCUUUAUGUUUGGCACUACUCGUAAUUUGAGCAGUGUUUUGCACUUAAAUUGUGUUGUUUGUGGUGGGAAUACAAAGCAAAAUCAGUAGCUGCUAAUGUUCCUUCUCCCCUUUUAGUUUCCCAUUCCCCUGGUAAGUUCUAACAUGGGAAAACCAAUAUUAUUUUAUCUGCACUCCUAUUGUCUUACUCCUAUAUCAUUGGUGAGGAGCUGAAGCAAUUGUAUACAGUUCAAUAUUACCCAUUUUUAUACCUAAAGAUUUUUUUUUCUUCUCUGUACACCAUAAUGUUCUAGUUAUUACCUAGCCCCGGACAGAACUUGUGGCUGUGUACCGAGGUGUAGGUGUCGCACCAUGUACGUCUGACAUUCCUAGGGAUAUCGCGGUGUGGGCCCAUCACUAUUGGCAAAUCAAAUCAUUUACGGUGCCGAUUGUAAUUUCAUCUAAACACUUGAAAUGUAUCCAGCGGUGUGAUUUCAAUUUAGUUACAAGUCAUGAACACACUUACACUGGUAAACGCUUCUCGAGUGCACACAGCUAUUCUAGACAGCUCUAGACAUUUGCAUACCAAACAGAAAGAGGUGGCAGAUAGUAUUUAGAAAAAGAGAGGCUGUCAGGCACUUUGUUUCCUAAUUUGACCAAAAAAUUUCGAGAUCGAGAUCGAACCCACACACCGAGGCUAUUCAAAAAUUCAGUCAUUAAUGUGAUACAUUAAGACGACUAUAUAGCCAGCUGGUCGAAAGUCCGAGUUCGCCGCCUGCGUUGAAGUCUUUUGAUUGGCAAGAACCGAGAAACGCUGAUGUCAUGGGCAGGGCAGUAAACAAACAAACUUUACUCCACCUGAUUUUUUCAAGUAAUUCUUGUUGUUGUCUGCGGCUGUUCCCCAACUGGCAUUGGAUUUAUUGUAACACAUACCAUGGCGUAUUAUAAUAAAUCAAAUACCACAUACAAUAAUCCAAAAAAUAAAAGAUUAUAAUCUUUUCAAAUUCGACCGAUGACGUGAGAAUGUCUGGGUUUUCGGUGGCUCUCCUCUAGCUAUUGUAUUUCGGCUUUCUUUCGCGGAGUUAUUUUUCAUGGCUGGGCGCCCUGACUAAACAUUCGUAUUGGUCAUGGCAUUUUGACGAAAUAUAAAUGCGUGGCACACAUGCCCGCACUUGCUCCCCAACUAACAAGCGAUGAAAAAUUGCAAAUUGCUUGGGAAAUUAUCUGAUGCUCAUAAUGAAAACGUUUGUCAGAACCAUUCGACAUAGAUCUUGACGAUUUGGCGCACACCGGUUGCCUUGGGGAUCUUGGCAACUUAUUAUUUUAACUCAGCAAUUGAGCGGCUUAGGAAGUUUACGUGGCAGCCGCAAGGUUACAUGAAGAUUUGUGGCUCCCAAAUGUCAAUUUAAAUUUUUUUCCUUGUCUUGAAAAUUUAAAUAUUUUAAUGCAAAAAGUUUGUUCAAACAAAAAUAAUAGUAACUGCAAAAAUAAUUUUUCAAAAAUAAUUGUUCUUAUAUUUUCUAUGAUUUUUCAAAGGUGACAACG